UGCAGUCGAGCGACUGAUUAGAAGCUUGCUUCUAUGACGUUAGCGGCGGACGGGUGAGUAACACGUGGGCAACCUGCCUGUAAGACUGGGAUAACUUCGGGAAACCGAAGCUAAUACCGGAUAGGAUCUUCUCCUUCAUGGGAGAUGAUUGAAAGAUGGUUUCGGCUAUCACUUACAGAUGGGCCCGCGGUGCAUUAGCUAGUUGGUGAGGUAACGGCUCACCAAGGCAACGAUGCAUAGCCGACCUGAGAGGGUGAUCGGCCACACUGGGACUGAGACACGGCCCAGACUCCUACGGGAGGCAGCAGUAGGGAAUCUUCCGCAAUGGACGAAAGUCUGACGGAGCAACGCCGCGUGAGUGAUGAAGGCUUUCGGGUCGUAAAACUCUGUUGUUAGGGAAGAACAAGUACGAGAGUAACUGCUCGUACCUUGACGGUACCUAACCAGAAAGCCACGGCUAACUACGUGCCAGCAGCCGCGGUAAUACGUAGGUGGCAAGCGUUAUCCGGAAUUAUUGGGCGUAAAGCGCGCGCAGGCGGUUUCUUAAGUCUGAUGUG
rnacentral:rRNA from 2 species